CGGGAUGUAGCGCAGCUUGGUAGCGCGUAUGCUUUGGGAGCAUGAUGUCGCAGGUUCGAAUCCUGUCAUCCCG
rnacentral:tRNA from 2 species